rnacentral:rRNA from 1 species
UACAGAGGGUGCGAGCGUUAAUCGGAAUUACUGGGCGUAAAGCGUGCGUAGACGGUUAUUUAAGUCGGGUGUGAAAGCCCCGGGCUCAACCUGGGAAUUGCAUUCGAGACUGAAUAGCUAGGGUACGGUAGAGGGAAGCGGAGUUUCCGGUGUAGCGGUGAAAUGCGUAGAUAUCGGAAGGAACAUCAGUGGCGAAAGCGGCUUCCUGGACCAGUACCGACGUUCAGGCACGAAAGCGUGGGGAGCAAACAGG